CAGUCGAACGGAACUGUUUUGAAAGAUUUCUUCGGAAUGAAUUUGAUUUAGUUUCGUUGCGGACGGGUGAGUAACGCGUGAGUAACCUGCCUUCAAGAGGGGAAUAACAUUCUGAAAAGAAUGCUAAUACCGCAUGACAUAUCGGAACCACAUGGUUUUGAUAUCAAAGAUUUUAUCGCUUGAAGAUGGACUCGCGUCCGAUUAGUUAGUUGGUGAGGUAACGGCUCACCAAGACCGCGAUCGGUAGCCGGACUGAGAGGUUGAACGGCCACAUUGGGACUGAGACACGGCCCAGACUCCUACGGGAGGCAGCAGUGGGGGAUAUUGCGCAAUGGGGGCAACCCUGACGCAGCAACGCCGCGUGAAGGAUGAAGGUUUUCGGAUUGUAAACUUCUUUUAUUAAGGACGAAAAAUGACGGUACUUAAUGAAUAAGCUCCGGCUAACUACGUGCCAGCAGCCGCGGUAAUACGUAGGGAGCAAGCGUUGUCCGGAUUUACUGGGUGUAAAGGGUGCGUAGGCGGCUUUGCAAGUCAGAUGUGAAAUCUAUGGGCUCAACCCAUAAACUGCAUUUGAAACUGUAGAGCUUGAGUGAAGUAGAGGCAGGCGGAAUUCCCCGUGUAGCGGUGAAAUGCGUAGAGAUGGGGAGGAACACCAGUGGCGAAGGCGGCCUGCUGGGCUUUAACUGACGCUGAGGCACGAAAGCGUGGGUAGCAAACAGGAUUAGAUACCCUGGUAGUCCACGCUGUAAACGAUGAUUACUAGGUGUGGGGGGUCUGACCCCUUCCGUGCCG
rnacentral:rRNA from 1 species